UUAAGCGACUAAGCGUACACGGUGGAUGCCCUGGCAGUCAGAGGCGAUGAAGGACGUGCUAAUCUGCGAAAAGCGUCGGUAAGGUGAUAUGAACCGUUACAGCCGGCGAUGUCCGAAUGGGGAAACCCAGUGUGAUUCGUCACACUAUCGUUAACUGAAUACAUAGGUUAACGAGGCGAACCGGGGGAACUGAAACAUCUAAGUACCCCGAGGAAAAGAAAUCAACCGAGAUUCCCCCAGUAGCGGCGAGCGAACGGGGAGCAGCCCAGAGUCUGAAUCAGCUUGUGUGUUAGUGGAACGGUCUGGAAAGUCCGACGGUACAGGGUGAUAGUCCCGUACACCAAAAUGCACAGGCUGUGAACUCGAAGAGUAGGGCGGGACACGUGGUAUCCUGUCUGAAUAUGGGGGGACCAUCCUCCAAGGCUAAAUACUCCUGACUGACCGAUAGUGAACCAGUAGCGUGAGGGAAAGGCGAAAAGAACCCCGGCGAGGGGAGUGAAAAAGAACCUGAAACCGUGUACGUACAAGCAGUGGGAGCACCUUCGGGUGUGACUGCGUACCUUUUGUAUAAUGGGUCAGCGACUUAUAUUCUGUAGCAAGGUUAACCGUAUAGGGGAGCCGCAGGGAAACCGAGUCUUAACUGGGCGUUAAGUUGCAGGGUAUAGACCCGAAACCCGGUGAUCUAGCCAUGGGCAGGUUGAAGGUUGGGUAACACUAACUGGAGGACCGAACCGACUAAUGUUGAAAAAUUAGCGGAUGACUUGUGGCUGGGGGUGAAAGGCCAAUCAAACCGGGAGAUAGCUGGUUCUCCCCGAAAGCUAUUUAGGUAGCGCCUCGUGAACUCAUCUUCGGGGGUAGAGCACUGUUUCGGCUAGGGGGUCAUCCCGACUUACCAACCCGAUGCAAACUACGAAUACCGAAGAAUGUUAUCACGGGAGACACACGGCGGGUGCUAACGUCCGUCGUGAAGAGGGAAACAACCCAGACCGCCAGCUAAGGUCCCAAAGUCAUGGUUAAGUGGGAAACGAUGUGGGAAGGCACAGACAGCCAGGAUGUUGGCUUAGAAGCAGCCAUCAUUUAAAGAAAGCGUAAUAGCUCACUGGUCGAGUCGGCCUGCGCGGAAGAUGUAACGGGGCUAAACCAUGCACCGAAGCUGCGGCAGCGACACUAUGUGUUGUUGGGUAGGGGAGCGUUCUGUAAGCCUGCGAAGGUGUGCUGUGAGGCAUGCUGGAGGUAUCAGAAGUGCGAAUGCUGACAUAAGUAACGAUAAAGCGGGUGAAAAGCCCGCUCGCCGGAAGACCAAGGGUUCCUGUCCAACGUUAAUCGGGGCAGGGUGAGUCGACCCCUAAGGCGAGGCCGAAAGGCGUAGUCGAUGGGAAACAGGUUAAUAUUCCUGUACUUGGUGUUACUGCGAAGGGGGGACGGAGAAGGCUAUGUUAGCCGGGCGACGGUUGUCCCGGUUUAAGCAUGUAGGCUGGUUAUCCAGGCAAAUCCGGAUAAUCAAGGCUGAGGUGUGAUGACGAGGCACUACGGUGCUGAAGUAACAAAUGCCCUGCUUCCAGGAAAAGCCUCUAAGCAUCAGGUAACAUCAAAUCGUACCCCAAACCGACACAGGUGGUCAGGUAGAGAAUACCAAGGCGCUUGAGAGAACUCGGGUGAAGGAACUAGGCAAAAUGGUGCCGUAACUUCGGGAGAAGGCACGCUGGUGUGUAGGUGAAGCCCCUGCGGGUGGAGCUGAGACCAGUCGAAGAUACCAGCUGGCUGCAACUGUUUAUUAAAAACACAGCACUGUGCAAACACGAAAGUGGACGUAUACGGUGUGACGCCUGCCCGGUGCCGGAAGGUUAAUUGAUGGGGUUAUCCGUAAGGAGAAGCUCUUGAUCGAAGCCCCGGUAAACGGCGGCCGUAACUAUAACGGUCCUAAGGUAGCGAAAUUCCUUGUCGGGUAAGUUCCGACCUGCACGAAUGGCGUAAUGAUGGCCAGGCUGUCUCCACCCGAGACUCAGUGAAAUUGAACUCGCUGUGAAGAUGCAGUGUACCCGCGGCAAGACGGAAAGACCCCGUGAACCUUUACUAUAGCUUGACACUGAACAUUGAGCCUUGAUGUGUAGGAUAGGUGGGAGGCUUUGAAGCGUGGACGCCAGUCUGCGUGGAGCCAACCUUGAAAUACCACCCUUUAAUGUUUGAUGUUCUAACGUUGGCCCCUUACCGGGGUUGCGGACAGUGUCUGGUGGGUAGUUUUGACUGGGGCGGUCUCCUCCCAAAGCGUAACGGAGGAGCACGAAGGUUAGCUAAUCCUGGUCGGACAUCAGGAGGUUAGUGCAAUGGCAUAAGCUAGCUUGACUGCGAGCGUGACGGCGCGAGCAGGUGCGAAAGCAGGUCAUAGUGAUCCGGUGGUUCUGAAUGGAAGGGCCAUCGCUCAACGGAUAAAAGGUACUCCGGGGAUAACAGGCUGAUACCGCCCAAGAGUUCAUAUCGACGGCGGUGUUUGGCACCUCGAUGUCGGCUCAUCACAUCCUGGGGCUGAAGUAGGUCCCAAGGGUAUGGCUGUUCGCCAUUUAAAGUGGUACGCGAGCUGGGUUUAGAACGUCGUGAGACAGUUCGGUCCCUAUCUGCCGUGGGCGCUGGAGAAUUGAGGGGGGCUGCUCCUAGUACGAGAGGACCGGAGUGGACGCAUCACUGGUGUUCGGGUUGUCAUGCCAAUGGCACUGCCCGGUAGCUAAAUGCGGAAGAGAUAAGUGCUGAAAGCAUCUAAGCACGAAACUUGCCCCGAGAUGAGUUCUCCCUGAGACUUUAAGUCUCCUGAAGGAACGUUGAAGACGACGACGUUGAUAGGCCGGGUGUGUAAGCGCAGCGAUGCGUUGAGCUAACCGGUACUAAUGAACCGUGAGGCUUAACCUU
rnacentral:rRNA from 1 species